rnacentral:tRNA from 1 species
ACCUGGAUGGCUUAGUGGGUGGAGCAUCUGACUUUGGCUCAGAUCAUGAACUUGCAGUUCGUGAGUUUGAGCCCUGCCUCAGGCU